rnacentral:rRNA from 1 species
GACAGAGGGUGCAAACGUUGCUCGGAAUCACUGGGCGUAAAGGGCGUGUAGGCGGGAAGGAAAGUCAGAUGUGAAAUCCCUGGGCUCAACCCAGGAACUGCAUUUGAAACUCCCUUUCUUGAGUACCGGAGAGGAAGGUGGAAUGCCUGGUGUAGAGGUGAAAUUCGUAGAUAUCAGGCGGAACACCAGUGGCGAAGGCGGCCUUCUGGACGGUAACUGACGCUGAGACGCGAAAGCGUGGGGAGCAAACAGG